rnacentral:rRNA from 1 species
AAGGCAAGCGGAUCUCUUAAAGCCGUUCUCAGUUCGGACUGUAGGCUGCAACUCGCCUACACGAAGCUGGAAUCGCUAGUAAUCGCGGAUCAGCACGCCGCGGUGAAUACGUUCCCGGGCCUUGUACACACCGCCCGUCACACCAUGAGAGUCUGUAACACCCAAAGCCGGUGGGAUAACCUUUAUAGGAGUCAGCCGUCUAAGGUAGGACAGAUGAUUAGGGUGAAGUCGUAACAAGGUAUC